GGAUGGGAUUUUUGAAGAGGAGAAUCGAUUGUAUUUUAGAGGGGGAGAUUACAUAGAGAGAAAAAAAGGUUUGAAGGAUUUUCAGAUCAAUUUUUCUUUUUGAUUUUUUUUUGGGUUCUAGUUUUUUUUUUCUUCUUGAUCUUUACUUGCUGCAUAUUUAUAACAAAAAAGAGAACAUUACAAAGCAACAAAAAUAGGAAAAGCAGUGAUUUCAAGUCGACGUUGGCUCCUCCGGCCUGAUGGUCGACAGAUCCUUGUGGUCUAGCUGAAACCGCGACGGUGGUAGAGGCGUAUUAUGCGCUGGUGAAGCCUAAGAGUCUGCCAAGUUGUCUAAAUAUGGUCCAAGUGAACACAUGAAAGAAGACUGAUAGCCCAUGAAGAAAUACAAGACUUUGCUUCAUUGCCUAAAGACAGAAACUGACAAAGAUUACUCGAGAGCCGUCACAUCUUGACCUUCUUAAAGGAGCUGACAAGUAUCACAGUAAUAAGUGAGCAAUGAGUCGCAGCCUGGAUCGAGCAAAAAAGGAGUUAAUAUAGACAUCUUUUGGAGAAUUCGUCAGACUCGACCAUAAGAUCCGGAUAUGAAGAGGAAGAUAGAUGUCUUCACUUGGAAUACAAGAGAAAAGCCGUAUAUGUAGUCCGUUUUAUGUAAAGGGAUUUGCUUUCUAGAAAAGUUGUUCUAAUGAAAUUAAAUUUAGAAUCAA